UCCCUUGUGGCUCAGCUGGUAGAGAGUCUGCCUGCAGUGCAGAAGACCUGGGUUCGAUCCCUGGGUUGAGAA
rnacentral:tRNA from 1 species